ACAGAGGGUGCAAGCGUUAAUCGGAUUUACUGGGCGUAAAGGGCGCGUAGGCGGACAGUUUAGUCAGAGGUGAAAGCCCAGGGCUCAACCUUGGAAUUGCCUUUGAUACUGGCUGUCUUGAGUUCGGGAGAGGUGAGUGGAAUGCCGAGUGUAGAGGUGAAAUUCGUAGAUAUUCGGCGGAACACCGGUGGCGAAGGCGGCUAUCUGGCCCGUGAUUGACGCUGAGGCGCGAAAGCGUGGGGAGCAAACAGGA
rnacentral:rRNA from 1 species